rnacentral:tRNA from 1 species
GUUAUUUUGGCAGAUAAAAUGCAUUAAAUUUAGGAUUUAAUUAUAUAGAAAUCUAUAAAUAAUA